rnacentral:rRNA from 1 species
UACGGGGGGGGCAAGCGUUGUUCGGAAUUACUGGGCGUAAAGGGCUCGUAGGCGGCCAACUAAGUCAGACGUGAAAUCCCUCGGCUUAACCGGGGAACUGCAUCUGAUACUGGAUGGCUUGAGUUCGGGAGAGGGAUGCGGAAUUCCAGGUGUAGCGGUGAAAUGCGUAGAUAUCUGGAGGAACACCGGUGGCGAAGGCGGCCCUCUGGACGGAUACUGACGCUGAGGCGCGAAAGCGUGGGGAUCAAACAGG